GAUGAACGCUGGCGGUGUGCCUACUCCCUCCAAGUCGAGGGGGCCGACGAGGAGUUUGCUUCUCUGUCUUUUGGGGCGGACGGGUGAGUACCACGUGGACACUGCCCCUAUAAGCCCGGGAUCACUUGGGGUAACAGGGGAUAUUACGGGAUCAUCAGUUCUAACGUCAGGAUCAAUCGGUAAAUCUGGUUUUUCUUUCACUUAUAGAUGGAUUCGCUGCGCAUUAGUUAGUUGGUAAGGUAACGGCUUACCCAGGCAACGAUGCGUAGCCGACCUGAGAGGGUGAUCGGCCACACUAGAACUGAGACACGGUCCAGACUCCUACGGGAGGCAGCAGUAGGGAAUCUUCCGCAAUGGGCGAAAGCCUGACGGAGCAACGCCGCGUGAGUGAUGAAGGUCUUCGGAUCGGAAAACUCUGUUAUGAGGGAAGAACAAAUGUGUAAGUAACUAUGCACGUCUUGACGGUACCUAAUCAGAAAGCCACGGCUAACUACGUG
rnacentral:rRNA from 1 species